GAAUUCGUUAGAUGCAAUUUUCACCUAUGUCUUAGUGACUUCACAAGUAGUCGUGUGAAAAGCAAGGUACUUUAGAAAUAUCGAUACCACUCAAAUUAAUUUUGAUUUCUUUUGGGUGUAAUUUUGAAGUCGAUUUUAAUGGUCGAGAUCAUGGUCAAGAUUUCUUCAAAGAUUAAAAAAAAAAGUAGCUUUAACUGGAUUCUGAAUUUUACUUUUUUUGGUUCUACAUAUUAUUUACCAAUAAACUCAAUGUUAUAUGAAUUCAAAGAGGCGAUAGACUUUCUACAACAAAAACAAAAAAAAAGAUAGUUUGACCAUACGUUUCAGGAAGAGGCUUCAGACGUUACCAGUGACAGAUCUUUACGGAGACCACUCGUUACAGAACACUGACCUGUGACGUCGCAACCUGUGGGCAGUUUAGACCAAUAGCACGUUGCCACUACUUGCCAGGUCACUAGUCUGACGCCACGACCUGUGACGUGGCAACGAACUCUAGUUUAGGGAUCAUUACCAUGUGAACAUUUCCCAGAACUAAGAAAUAUUCCCAAAGUUAUACCUGUCGCUUCGGAUCAAUAUACAGACCUGACGGAAAUGAUCGAGAUCAAACGAAAUUCAACGACUCUCCGAUUCAAAUAUGAAAAAAACUGUAUGUGACUAUCAGCUUCCUAAUAUUUACGCAUUUGGAGGCGCGGGGGCUGAACGGUAAGGCGCUUGGAACCGGGAUCCUGUGUUCGAAUCCUGGGAUUUUUAAUUUCGGGAUCUUUGGGCGCCUCUGAGUUCACCUGACAUUGGUUGGGGAAAGUAAAGGUAGUUGGUCUUUGUGCUGGCCACAUGACACCCUCGUAAGCCGUUGGCCACAGAAACAGAUGACCUCUACAUCAUCUGCCCUAUAGAUCGCAGCGUCGGACAGGGGAAACUGACCUGAACGGAUUUACAAAUUUGGUGAAAGCAAAGCAAUAUAUCAAAGGACUAUUCAGGAUCAAGUUGAAACUGUGCACAGCUAUUCACUAUCGAUGACAACACAUGAAUGGAGCAAAAAAAAAAAAUCAAAUAGUUAAUAAGUUGUGCUGGCCACAUGACACCCUCGCCAGGAAACAAAUGACCUUAACAUCAUCAGCCCUAUAGAUUGCAUGGUCUGAAAGGUUAACCGCAUAAGAAGAAAGGAGCCUAAUGGCUGACACAAUUGGAAAGGCUCAUUGACGGGCAAUGAACGGUGACCCCAGAUUUGAGUGUAGAUUAUCCGCUUGACUUAAAAAUAAAAUGCAUCACUUAGAACGAACACUAGAAUGUUGCUGCUGUUUAUCUGUUGGGUGGUCGGUCAUGCGGAAAUGUUUACCAGUUUUGGGCGUGGCCGAUGUCUAGAAAUAAACCUUCUUUUAUGUUGUUUACUAAAGAUGUCAUUUUAUUUCUUUUUGAA